rnacentral:rRNA from 1 species
GACGAACGCUGGCGGCGUGCUUAACACAUGCAAGUCGAGCGGAGCGGCGAACGGGUGAGUAACGCGUGCGUAACUGCCCCCCUCUCUGGGAUAACAGAUGGAAACGGCUGCGAAUACCGGCUAGUGGGGGAUGACUCGCGUCCUAUCUGCUUGUUGGUGGGGUAGUGGCCUACCAAGGCGACGACGGGUAGCGGACCUGAGCGAGCGACCGGCCACAUUGGGCUUAGAUACUGCCCAAAUCCCUACGUGGGGCAGCAGGGGAGACUAUUGCACAAUGGGGGAAACCCGAAUGCAGAAACGCCGCGUGCGGGAUGACGGCCUUCGGUUUGUAAACCGCUUUCAGCCAUGACGCGGUAGUUGCAGAAGAAGCACCGGCUAACGACGUGCCAGCAGCCGCGGUAAUAC